GGGGAUGUAGUUCAGUUGGGAGAACGCUUGAAUGGCAUUCAAGAGGUCGCGGGUUCGACUCCCGCCAUCUCCA
rnacentral:tRNA from 1 species